rnacentral:rRNA from 1 species
AUGAGGUGGAAACGGACAGGGCUGGCGUAUCUGGUCUGCAUUCAUCCGUGUGCUUUUGGGCGUUUGGAUUGCCACUCUCCAGACUGGGAUGGUGUUCAUUCUGUUCAGGUGCUCAUGGAGCAUUUGCAGGCGGAGUGCGCUGAGAUGCUCGGGGCAGCUGCAUGAGCUUGGCUUUGAGGCCAGCCCUCCGGGGUCUGGUACCCGGGCUGGGGGAGUGUUGUUUGUUCUGGGUGCUGAGUGGUGUGCAAUGGCAACGGGUCCGUGUUGGUUUGAGCUGGCGGUCGGUGGCGGUCGCGUGCGACACGUGCCAGCAGUCAGUUCGGUCCUGCUCGGGCUCUCAUUGCAUGUUCUCGGUGUAAAAGCCGGUCAUCUGUCCGACCCGUCUUGAAACACGGACCAAGGAGUUUAGCGUGUGCGCGAGUCAUUGGGAGUUGAAAACCCAAGGGCGUAAUGAAAGUGAAGGUCUCCUUGCGGAGCUGAUGUGUGAUCCCGUGCACCACGGUGUGCGGGCGCAACAUAGUCCCGUUCCUAUCGCAUGCGAUGGGGCGGAGACAGAGCGUACGCGCUGAGACCCGAAAGAUGGUGAACUAUUCCUGAGCAGGAUGAAGCCAGAGGAAACUCUGGUGGAAGUCCGAAGCGAUUCUGACGUGCAAAUCGAUCG